CCUACGGGAGGCAGCAGUGGGGAAUUUUGGACAAUGGGCGCAAGCCUGAUCCAGCAAUGCCGCGUGAGUGAAGAAGGCCUUCGGGUUGUAAAGCUCUUUUGUCAGGGAAGAAACGGUGGGGGCUAAUAUCUCCUACUAAUGACGGUACCUGAAGAAUAAGCACCGGCUAACUACGUGCCAGCAGCCGCGGUAAUACGUAGGGUGCAAGCGUUAAUCGGAAUUACUGGGCGUAAAGCGUGCGCAGGCGGUUUUGUAAGUCUGUCGUGAAAGCCCCGGGCUCAACCUGGGAAUUGCGAUGGAGACUGCAAGGCUUGAAUCUGGCAGAGGGGGGUAGAAUUCCACGUGUAGCAGUGAAAUGCGUAGAGAUGUGGAGGAACACCGAUGGCGAAGGCAGCCCCCUGGGUCAAGAUUGACGCUCAUGCACGAAAGCGUGGGGAGCAAACAGGAUUAGAUACCCUGGUAGUCCACGCCCUAAACGAUGUCUACUAGUUGUCGGGUUUUAAUUAACUUGGUAACGCAGCUAACGCGUGAAGUAGACCGCCUGGGGGAGUACGGUCGCGAAGUAGUAAACGUUACAAUAGUUAGUUAGUAGNGNGNGAGNGCGACGACGACGACGAGGAGGAGG
rnacentral:rRNA from 1 species